rfam:Nematostella vectensis strain CH2 x CH6 NEMVEscaffold_6398_Cont51313, whole genome shotgun sequence.
CAAACGGUUCUUUUAGGAACCACCACAUCGCACAAAAGUUCAAUG